CAGUAGGGAAUCUUCCGCAAUGAGCGAAAGCUUGACGGAGCAACGCCGCGUGAGUGAUGAAGGCCUUCGGGUCGUAAAGCUCUGUCCUAAGGGAAGAACACCUCAGUAGAUAACAUCUGCUGGGAUUGACGGUACCUUUGGAGGAAGCCUCGGCUAAUUACGUGCCAGCAGCCGCGGUAAUACGUAAGAGGCAAGCGUUGUCCGGAAUCACUGGGCGUGAAGGGUGCGCAGGCGGUCUAGUAAGUCAAGAGUGAAAUCCAUCGGCUCAACCGGUGAACUGCUUUUGAAACUACUAGACUUGAGAAUAGGAGAAGAGAGUGGAAUUCCUGGUGUAGUGGUGAAAUACGUAGAUAUCAGGAAGAAUACCAAUGGCGAAAGCAGCUCUCUAGCCUAAUUCUGACGCUGAGGUACGAAAGCUAGGGUAUCAAACGGGAUUAGAUACCCCGGUAGUCCUAGCUGUAAACGAUGAAUGCUCGCCGUUAUCCCGCUUAAGGGAUAGUGGCUAAGCUAACGCGUUAAGCAUUCCGCCUGGGGAGUACGAUCGCAAGGUUGAAACUCAAAGGAAUUGACGG
rnacentral:rRNA from 1 species